rnacentral:rRNA from 1 species
UACGGGGGGGGCAAGCGUUGUUCGGAAUUACUGGGCGUAAGGGGCUCGUAGGCGGCCAACUAAGUCAGACGUGAAAUCCCUCGGCUUAACCGGGGAACUGCGUCUGAUACUGGAUGGCUUGAAUCCGGGAGAGGGAUGCGGAAUUCCAGGUGUAGCGGUGAAAUGCGUAGAUAUCUGGAGGUACACCGGUGGCGAAGGCGGCAUCCUGGACCGGCAUUGACGCUGAGGAGCGAAAGCCAGGGGAGCAAACGGG